CGACCAGUUCACUUGCCAUCCAUGCCCUUCUCUGCUCACAUUCAGCAGCCCCCACCACCCACAGGACAGCAACCCACCCACCCACCCCCAGGACAGCAGCCACCCCCACCACAGCCUGCCAAGCCUCAGCAAGUCAUCCAGCAUCACCCUUCACCCCGGCACCACAAGUCAGACCCCUACUCAGCUGGUCAUCUUCGUGAAGCCCCUUCUCCGCUUAUGAUACAUUCCCCUCAAAUGCCACAGUUCCAGAGCCUGACCCAUCAGUCUCCACCCCAGCAAAACGUCCAGCCCAAGAAGCAGGAGCUGCGCCCACCGUCAGUCGUCCAGCCCCAGCCCCUGGUGGUAGUGAAGGAGGAGAAGAUUCACUCACCAAUCAUCCGCAGUGAGCCUUUUAGCACCUCACUUCGCCCAGAGCCGCCCAAGCACCCAGAGAACAUGAAGGCCCCAGUCCACCUGCCUCAGCGGCCUGAGAUGAAGCCUGUAGAUGUAGGGAGGCCUGUGAUCCGGCCUCCAGAGCAGAGUGCACCCCCACCAGGGGCCCCUGACAAGGACAAACAGAAACAGGAGCCAAAAACACCAGUGGCGCCCAAAAAGGACCUGAAAAUUAAGAACAUGGGCUCCUGGGCCAGCCUGGUACAGAAGCAUCCGACCACCCCAUCCUCCACAGCCAAGUCCUCAAGCGACAGCUUUGAGCAUUUCCGCCGCGCUGCUCGGGAGAAGGAGGAGCGGGAAAAGGCCCUGAAGGCUCAGGCUGAGCACGCAGAGAAGGAGAAGGAGCGGCUGAGGCAGGAGCGCAUGAGGAGCCGAGAGGAUGAGGAUGCGCUGGAACAGGCACGUCGAGCCCAUGAGGAGGCACGACGGCGCCAGGAGCAGCAGCAGCAGCAGCAGAGACAGGAGCAGCAGCAGCAGCAGCAACAGCAGGCAGCUGCUGUGGCCGCUGCCUCCGCCCCCCAGGCCCAGAGCUCCCAGCCCCAGUCUAUGCUGGACCAGCAGAGGGAGUUGGCCCGAAAGCGAGAACAGGAGCGGAGGCGCAGGGAGGCAAUGGCAGCUACAAUUGACAUGAAUUUCCAGAGUGAUCUUUUGUCAAUAUUUGAAGAAAAUCUUUUUUGAGAGCACCCAGGUGACUUCUGACUUUUCUGGCAAAAAUGUUGACUCUCCAUAGUGUUAGGGGCGGCAGUGGAAGCAGUAGCAGCAGCCAGGGAUGUCUCUGGGCCUGGCUCUCCUGCAUGCUAUGCCCGGGGCAGGCCUGACGGGCAGCUGAGGAUCGCAGAGCCCAUCUGCCUUACAGCCAGCCGGACAGACGUCCUACCACAUGCCACCCGCUCAGUGGACGUCAGUUCAGAGCACGUCUCAGUAUAUUGAGUCAAGUGCCGGCUGGACCUGAGGCCUGCUUCCCCGCGUGCGGGGCAGAGGCCCUUCUCUGCGCCAAAUGUCUACACAGUAUACACAGGACAUUGUUGCUGCCGCCACCGUGACUGAUUUUCUGUCCCUGAGAACAUGACGUUUGUGACGUCCUACCCAUUGGGAGUCCUUCACACCCCAGCCAUCGCUGCCCACUCCCAGGAGGCCAGGGCAAGCCUGUGUGGACUGGAGCAGCAAGGCACUGGCCCACCCCUUGCUGGCACUGACUUUGCCUUGAACAGACCCUCUCCCCUCCCCCCACAAGCCUUUAAUUGAGAGCCGCUCUCUAUAAGUGUUCGCUUGUGCAAAAGGGAAUAGUGCCGUGGAAGUGUGUGUGCCCAUGGCAGUUUGGACAGAGGUGACUGUUCACAUGUGUGGAUAGGCCUCGCCUGGGGAGUAAGGCCACCAACCAAAGUCAGUCCUUCCCACCUGUGUUUCUGAUUUUAUUUUUUUUCCUAUAUAUAUAUUUUUUUGUUGUUGUUGAAUUCUAUUUUAUUUUUAACUCUCUCUUCUCCUCAGACACAGUGGCACUGCUUAUCUCCAAAUGGUGUGACCGUCUCCUCAUGAGCGGCAGCUCCCUCCCCCCCCCGCUGUGGGUAGUGUAUGACUGUGGCUGUACUGUAUAGUGAACAUAGUUGGCAUAUCUUUGUUUGAAGUUUGUUGGUGACUCCACCAAACUGGUGUAAAAAACAAAAACAGACAAAAAACCCCCACAAACCACCCAACACACACACAGAAAGUCCUGCUUGUAUUCAGUUUCAAACUUUAUUAGUCUUAUUUUUAAUUAUAAAACCAGAAAGCUGCAAUUUCUUUUCCCUCUACCCCUUGUUUGUUGGCUUCUUUGUUUUUUAAUGUCAAAUCUGUUUGUUUUUACCAAGAAAGGGAGAGCCUGGGGAGGGCUCCAGGCCCUGGUGGGCUGCAAACUGAGGCAGAGGUCCCAUGCGCACCUGGUCAGACCAGUGCGCUGGGCCUUCCUUCCUUCCCAUUAGCAUUUUUGUUUUGUUUUGUUUUGUUUUUAAAUUGGAGCCCCUGGUGAGGUUACAUGUGCCAUGAGAACCCAGUCUACACCACAGUGCUGGUGCCUCGGUGUUGGCCAAACUCUGGAGUCACUGACUGGUUUGACUUUCAUGUGGUGAAUAUGCAUUUGGUCUGUACUGAUCAUGGAAUAAACACAUCUCUCUUUUUUAAUGCUGGUGUCUCCCUGAAAUUUCUUUGUGAACCAACUAGGUAUUCUAGUUUGUUUAGGCUAGGCCCAGGUUCCCAGGCACCUUUGUGUAAGAUUUACCAACAGUGGACACAGCUACUCUCCAUUGGCCAGUCCUGCCUUUCCUGGGCAGGAGCUGCCUGGGCUCAGAGUGCCCCCACCCCAAGCUGAAGUUCUAAUAGGGAGCCAGACACCCUGUAACUGCCUGGACUGGGUGGUGAUGAGGCUCACUGAAACUUGGCUUAUCCAGACCACAUUCUUCCUGAAGGUCCUGAUCAUCCUAGUCCCUUCUUCACAAAGGCUUGGGGCUGCUUUUCCCACCAUGCUUGCCUCUACCUAACUCCUAAUUUGAUUUAAGCUCAGGGUUAACCACAUACUCUUAGGUAAUGUACGUUCCCUCCAAAUAGGAUCUCUGUAUCCCUACACAUGAACACAUUUCCACUGAGAAAGCCCCCAGAUGGCUUCCUUACCUUGUGCCCACUUGUUCACACAUGUCCUGGCCCCCAAGAACAGUCUCUGUGAUGUAAGAUAAGUAAUUCUACAUAAGCAGAGACACGUUGACUCAAAGUUUCUAGCACUCUUAAUCCGUAUCUCCCCCCUCAACCAGAAAGGCCGAACCUCAGAGUACAGGGCACAGUUCAGGUACCCAGCCAAUGCUCCCUCCCUUCCCUUAAGGUCCUGUCCUGCUCCAGGCGAUUCGUACAUAACUGUGCUGGAGCAAUGGCAGGUUUAGUCCUCUGAGGCGGCUUUUACCACAUCCGACCCUCACAGUCUUCUCUUGAGAUACUUCCCCACGCUGGGCCCCACUUCUGAGGUGGGGAGAUCAUUUCAGCUGUACCUUCUUGCUGGAGUUUUGAAUGGCCUCCGCACCUUCCUCAUGGGUGUUCCUCUAACUGGGUUGUAAUUAGAACUGGGAUCUAUUUAAUUUCUCUGACCAUUUUCAAAUCCUUCCUGCAGUACUAGACAUCUUAGUCCUAUACAAGAGUAAGAGGUGUGUACAAGCCCCCACUGUACUGUAUGCACGGGUCGCUCGGCCAAUAAUUAUGUCAGUGAAUCUGAGACUUGUAUUAAAAUACUUUAGACAUUUGUAGAAGGGAAUUCAUAGACUUUUCACUUAUAUACUUAAAGGGGGUUUUUUUUGUGCAGUUCUCAUUGCAAAAAUAAACAUUUGUACUGAAUAUAAAGUU
rnacentral:lncRNA from 1 species